ACCUACUGUGGAAAGGUUUCUAGAGACUGCAUCCCAUUCCCUGUCCUGAUUUGACCACAUGGGAACCUUUGCAGUGGAAGGAAACCAGACUUUGACAAGCAUUCUGGACAGCCUAGUAAUUGUGUGCUAAGUGUAUAAUCCUAACGAGAAUGGAAAGACCUGACUCUUUGGAAGCUCCUGCAAGACUUCAAAGGAAUUACCAGGAAUUACCAGAGGAGAAAACAGACACUGAAUGUGAAAUGAAUUACCCACAGACAGCAAAUAAUUCAUAUGCAAAGUUAUGA